rnacentral:sRNA from 1 species
AUUGCGCCACUGGCCCCGAGUUGGUAAGUCCUUCUCCGCGAUAGCUGAUCACCCUUAUACAGUUUGAACGGGCUUCCGGGCUGUUUGAAAAUCUGGUGGCCACAGCCUGGGAAUAUCUGGCAUAUCACACCUGAAAAAUUUUAUGUGGAAGCUUGUGAUGAUGGAGCAGAUGAUGUACUUACCAUCGACCGUGUGUCCACAGAGGUUACCCUUGCAGUCAAGAAAGAUGUUCCUCCUUCAGCUGUCACAAGACCAAUAUUUGGUAUACUGGGCACAAUCCAUCUGGUGGCAGGUAAUUAUCUUAUAGUCAUUACCAAAAAGAUAAAAGUAGGUGAAUUUUUCAGUCAUGUAAUCUGGAAAGCAACAGAUUUUGAUGUCCUUUCUUAUAAGAAGACAAUGUUGCACUUAACUGAUAUUCAGUUACAAGAUAAUAAAACCUUCCUAGCGAUGCUAAACCAUGUCUUGAAUGUGGAUGGAUUUUACUUUUCAACAACAUAUGAUUUGACCCAUACUUUGCAGCGGCUAUCCAACACUAGUCCUGAAUUCCAAGAAAUGAGUCUCUUGGAAAGGG